UGCUAUUUAUGCCACACACUCAAGCAAUUGUCAAGAAUUUCCCUGCAAACUGUCAUAUGUUAGUGAAUGUGUUUGGAGGAAGCAGCCGCGGCGGCGGAGGGCGAGCAGCGCGGAGGGAGAGACGCCACUUCUCAGCUGCUGAGCAAAUUGUCUUCUGGGCAUGAGGGGGGCAUGAAGGAGGAAUCUGAGCAGGCUCAGUUAAGAGACACAAUGACACCACAACAAUGUAUGAGGGGCACGGCUGGAGAAGGAGAAGACUUUGGAAUAAAGACUAAAUGCUGAAUCGCGCAGUUUCCCGGGCUGUGAAAGUCUAGCUGUGCGACAUUACAGCCGGGCCAGUGAGGCCGGGCAGGCUGCCGGGGGACAAACCGUGACUCCAGUAAUACAGAGAGAAAGAUCACCCCCGACUGGAGCUUUGAUCAACUGAGUGUACCGGGGAGGAGGAGGGGUGGCAGUGGAGGGUGGGGUACCGGUCCGCUGCUCUGCUUUGCUUUGCAGUCCCUCUGCAGGAUUUCCCCCCCGCUUUUUCAAAGGAAUAUUGCAAACAGGCGCUGACAUUCAUGAUUCUUAAUAAGACGCAUUGAUCAUUCUGGCAUACGAAUGCGUUUAUUUUAGGAAUAAACAGCCCAAUUUCUGUGAAAGUGGCUCAGUUAAUAUCAUUUCUAUAUUUUUUCAUCGCUAUUCCUACUUGGAAAACUUCACCACAUGGAAUAGUAAAAAUAUUCGAAGGUGCUGUUGUGGCAAAAUGUGAAUACUGCUGAAAGAAAAAAAAGACAAUUACAAGCUCAUGAGAAAUAAGACAGAAAUAAUUUUUACUUUAUUUCAUUGCACUUAUCUUAAGUUGCUGUGCAAACACGCCUGCCAUAUGAACGCAAUAAAAUCUACCUGAAAUUACAAACAAAGAGGAUUCUUUUGAAACGAAAAAUGUGCAAAAAUGCAUAUCUUUCUUCUGCCAAUAACGAAAGUCAGCAUCAGAAUGUAUCUGUGUGUUUUUUUUCAAGUUACAAAACACUCUGAAAAUGCAGUAUUUUUACGUAAUUCUCCCAUCCACAAAAAGGUGUUUCAACGUGUCUUGGCAGCGCAAACUGCUUGAAAAGCGCACACAUUUGACGCAAAGUUUACCAUCCUUUCCAUAAAUACGAGUUUGCAGAGGUAGUUGAGGGGGGGUAGAGGGUGGUUGUAUUUGUCUGUCCCUGCCCUGCCUAGUCUGUCAAUCAUUCUUCACCACUUUAUCACGCACUCCCAGGACCGAAAUCCGACCCUCCCUCCUUCUUCCAUCCAUCCAUCCAUCCAUCCAUCCAUCCAUGCGCCGCAGACCCAUCCCGGUGCGCGCUGCUCACGCAGCAGAAAGGCCCUAUAGCUGACAGAUUUGGGAAAAUUCUGAGUCUGUCACUGAAUAACUCAUAUGACUGGGGAGGCUGUAGGAGCUAAGCACGCAGAGUCCCACAAUCGACUGGCUGAGCCGUGUCCUCCCUCCGCACCCCCCCUCCUCCUCCUGUAGAUCAGCAGCCAAACAUAUGCCGAUGUGAACUCAACGUGGAUUAUUGAGCCAACGGCAACUCUAAGCAAACAUUUUCCAGACUUUCCAACUCUGGUCCCGGCCUGUGCUGAGAGAAAUCCAAUGGGAUUUAUAGAUCACCUCCCUACAGCUGUCUCUUCUCAGUCAGUCAACCCCCAUUCCACCCACACACACUAGCCCAUAUUCAGAGGAUGUCAUGAUCCGACCUCCAGAACCACACAGCUACAACCACCACUGUCUUCACUGUAUGUGUGAUCACAUGACUGAGUGAAUCUGGGGAUUUGGGGUGCAGAACAGUAACCUUGUACGAGACAACGAGGUCACCCAGACACAAGGCCACCACCACCACAGCACCGCAACCACCA